GCAAUCCAGAGCUCCGCACAGCUUCUAAGCAGUUCUGGCCCUUUGGACCCAAACUUCCUUGGAAGAAGGGAAAGUAGGGCAGCAGGAGAGGAAAGGACUCCGGGCUGGCGCGCAUCCUGGGACCGGAAGGUGCCGUGGAAGCUCCCGACGCCACUGAGCCGGGCAGCGCAGCAAGCCGCCAGGGUUGUCUUUGCUCAAAUGAGUCAGGACACAGAGUGCUCAGAACAAACCUGGCAUCCUGACAUUUCUCCACACCAAUCACCACUGCUUGGUGCCUUCCUUGGACUGGAUCCACAGCUCCUGCCCCCAAGAGGCGUCCUCAAACUGGUCCUGACUGGGAGAUGAACGGGCUGGGUGUGGUGACUUUCCCCUGUAGCAGCUGGGGAGGCUGAGGCAGGAG